rnacentral:rRNA from 1 species
GGGGGGCGCUAUCUGCAGUCGAGCGAAUCAUAGGAGCUUGCUCCUGUUGGUUAGCGGCGGACGGGUGAGUAACACGUGGGCAACCUGCCUGUAAGACUGGGAUAACUUCGGGAAACCGGAGCUAAUACCGGAUAAUCCUUUUCCUCUCAUGAGGAAAAGCUGAAAGUCGGUUUCUGCUGAACCCUUCCAAAGGGGCCCCCGCGCCAUAACUAAUUGGGGAAGGAACCGGUCCCCCAAGGGACCAAGCCUAACCCAACCGAAAAGGGGAACCGGCC